rnacentral:rRNA from 1 species
AGAAUCAACGCUGGCGGCGUGCCUAACACAUGCAAGUCGAACGCGAAAGGGGAGCAAUCCCUAAGUAGAGUGGCAAACGGGUGAGUAACACGUGGGUGACCUGCCUUCGAGUGGGGGAUAACGUCCCGAAAGGGACGCUAAUACCGCAUAGCAUCCUGUCCUUAGACGGACGGAGAUCAAAGCUAGGGAUCGCAAGACCUGGCGCUUAAAGAGGGGCCCGCGCCUGAUUAGCUAGUUGGUGAGGUAACGGCUCACCAAGGCAACGAUCAGUA